AUUGAACGCUGGCGGCAUGCCUAACACAUGCAAGUCGAGCGAGCGGCGGACGUGUGAGAACGGUACGGGGACCUGCCCGAUAGAGGGGGAUGACAACUGGUAACGAUGGCUAAUAACGCAUUCUAUCGGAGGAACCCAUAUGGGAUUUGCUAGUGGGUGGGGUAAAGGCUCACCUAGGCGACGAUCUCUAGCUGGUCGGAGAGGAUGAUCAGCCACACUGGGACUGAGACACGGCCCAGACUCCUACGGGAGGCAGCAGUGGGGAAUAUUGCACAAUGGGCGCAAGCCUGAUGCAGCCAUGCCGCGUGUAUGAAGAAGGCCUUAGGGUUGUAAAGUACUUUCAGCAGGGAAGCGUUACCCGCAGAAGAAGCACCGGCUAACUCCGUGCCAGCCGCCGCGGUAAUAC
rnacentral:rRNA from 1 species